GGGGUCAUAGCUCAGUUUGGGAGAGCGCCUGCCUUGCACGCAGGAGGUCGCGGGUUCGAUGCCUGUUGGCUCCACCA
rnacentral:tRNA from 1 species